rnacentral:rRNA from 1 species
UACGUAGGGUGCGAGCGUUAAUCGGAAUUACUGGGCGUAAAGCGUGCGCAGGCGGUUUUGUAAGCCAGAUGUGAAAUCCCCGGGCUUAACCUGGGAAUGGCAUUUGGGACUGCAAAGCUUGAGUGCGGCAGAGGGGACUGGAAUUCCUGGUGUAGCAGUGAAAUUCGUAGAUAUUCGCAAGAACACCAGUGGCGAAGGCGGCUCACUGGCCCGAUACUGACGCUGAUGCACGAAAGCGUGGGGAGCAAACAGGA